rnacentral:rRNA from 1 species
AGUGAACGCUGGCGGCGUGCUUAACACAUGCAAGUCGAACGAGAACGGAAUAUAGCUUGCUAUAUUUGUCAGCUAAGUGGCGCACGGGUGAGUAAUGUAUAGAUAACCUGCCCUUAAGAAAGGAAUAACAGUUGGAAACGACUGCUAAUGCCCCAUAUGCCUUUAAUACAUAAGUAUGCAAGGGAAACGCUUUAGUGCUUAAGGAUGGGUCCGUAUGGUAUCAGCUUGUUGGUGAGGUAAUGGCUCACCAAGGCUAUGACGCCUAACUGGUUUGAGAGGAUGAUCAGUCACACUGGAACUGGGACACGGUCCAGACUCCUACGGGAGGCAGCAGUGGGGAAUAUUGCACAAUGGACGAAAGUCUGAUGCAGCAACGCCGCGUGGAGGAUGACACAUUUCGGUGCGUAAACUCCUUUUAUAUAGGAAGAUAAUGACGGUACUAUAUGAAUAAGCACCGGCUAACUCCGUGCCAGCCGCCGCCGUAA